rnacentral:rRNA from 1 species
UACGUAGGGAGCAAGCGUUGUCCGGAAUCAUUGGGCGUAAAGCGCGCGUAGGUGGCCCGGUAAGUCCGCUCUGAAAGUCAAAGGCUCAACCUUUGAAAGCGGGUGGAUACUGCCAGGCUAGAGUCCGGAAGAGGCGAGUGGAAUUCCUGGUGUAGCGGUGGAAUGCGCAGAUAUCAGGAGGAACACCAACGGCGAAGGCAGCUCGCUGGGACGGUACUGACACUGAGGCGCGAAAGCGUGGGGAGCGAACAGG